GACGAACGCUGGCGGCGUGCUUAACACAUGCAAGUCGAACGGAAAGGCCCUGCUCUUGUGGGUUGCUCGAUUGGCGAACGGGUGAGUAACACGUGAGUAACCUGCCCUUGACUUUGGGAUAACUCCAGGAAACUGGGGCUAAUACCGGAUAGGAGCUCCUGCUGCAUGGUGGGGGUUGGAAAGUUUCGGCGGUUGGGGAUGGACUCGCGGCUUAUCAGCUUGUUUGUGGGGUAGUGGCUUACCAAGGCUUUGACGGGUAGCCGGCCUGAGAGGGUGACCGGCCACCUUGCGCCUGAGAUACGGCGCAGACGGCUACGGGCGGCAGCAGUCGAGAAUAUUGCACAACGGGCGGAAGUGUGAUGCAGCAACGCCGCGUGCGGGAUGCCGGCUUUCUGGUUGUAAACAGAUUUCGAAUGUGACGAAGCGUGAGUGACGGUAAUGGGUAAAGAAGCACCGGCUAACUACGUG
rnacentral:rRNA from 1 species